GCCGUUGCCACCGUCACCACCUCCUCCCAGCUGCCGCUGCUGCCGCCGCCGCCGCCGCUCCUGCCGCUGCCGCCUCCUCCCAGCUCCUGCCUGCAACAGCCAAACCCCGCGAGCGAUUUGACACAGUCGGACUUCCACUACUGGAAGAUUGGAAGAACGGGCUCUGCUACCCUGAUUGACCCGGAGCCGGCUGCCUUAACGGGGACUGCGUCAAGAUCUCCGAGAAGAUGGAUACGUGCCGAAUUUGUUGAUACAAAUAGCGACAAAAUUGAACAGUAGUCUAUGUGUACGUUCUGACCAGAGGAACUUCUUGGGUUAAUAUUAACUUAGGGACUCCCUUGGGCAAAGUACUGGUAGUGACCAAAGGCCCUUCCGUAUGACUAUCUUCGGAGAACCAGAACUGCUGUAAAGACAAAUCCUCUGCACUCUGCCCGCUGCCACGUUCUCAGGUCCUACUCUGGGGAGGUCCGUUGUAAAGCCCAAAGGAUGGGAAUUGUUAUGUCUUGACUGUUUUAAUGAUAAAUCCAUUCGCUGCUUGUACAACUGCCUGAUCUUAAGGAUAGAUCGAAUAUUUUCUGGUAAAUAGGCUAAAGCUGUUGUUACUGACCUUUAAAAAGUAUUUUGAUCAUCACAUGAAGUCUUUGACAGUCAUAACAAAAAAAACUCCAUAGUGAAUCCUUAACCAUGUUGACUUAUGACAUUAUGUGGUCACUGUCAGGGUAGGUGACAUAAUAAACUGGAAGAACCAU